rnacentral:rRNA from 1 species
GAUGAACGCUGACAGAAUGCUUAACACAUGCAAGUCAACUUGAACUUCGGUUUGGGUGGCGGACGGGUGAGUAACGCGUAAAGAACUUGCCUCACAGAUAGGGACAACAUUUGGAAACGAAUGCUAAUACCUGAUAUUAUGAUUAUAUGGCAUCGUAUAAUUAUGAAAGCUAUAUGCGCUGUGAGAGAGCUUUGCGUCCCAUUAGCUAGUUGGAGAGGUAACGGCUCACCAAGGCGAUGAUGGGUAGCCGGCCUGAGAGGGUGAUCGGCCACAAGGGGACUGAGACACGGCCCUUACUCCUACGGGAGGCAGCAGGGGGGAAUAUUGGACAAUGGACCAAGAGUCUGAUCCAGCAAUUCUGUGUGCACGAUGAAGUUUUUCGGAAUGUAAAGUGCUUUCAGUUGGGAAGAAAAAAAUGACGGUACCAACAGAAGAAGUGACGGCUAAAUACGUG